AGAGUUUGAUCAUGGCUCAGGACGAACGCUGGCGGCGUGCUUAACACAUGCAAGUCGAACGGCACCCAACCGGUGGCAACACCGGAGAAGGUGUAGUGGCGAACGGGUGAGUAACACGUGAGCAACCUGCCCCGAAGACCGGGACAAGCCGGGGAAACCUGGUCUAAUACCGGAUGCCCUCGAGCAGUCGCAUGGCAGCACGAGGAAAUGGAUUCCGCUUCGGGAGGGGCUCGCGGCCUAUCAGCUUGUUGGUGGGGUAACGGCCCACCAAGGCUUCGACGGGUAGCUGGUCUGAGAGGACGAACAGCCACACUGGGACUGAGACACGGCCCAGACUCCUACGGGAGGCAGCAGUGGGGAAUAUUGCGCUAAUGCGCGAAAGCGUGACGCAGCAACGCCGCGUGGGGGACGAAGGCCCUCGGGUUGUAAACCCCUUUCGGCAGGGACGAAACUGACGGUACCUGCAGAAGAAGCCCCGGCCAACUACGUGCCAGCAGCCGCGGUAACACGUAGGGGGCGAGCGUUGUCCGGAUUUAUUGGGCGUAAAGAGCUCGUAGGCGGCUUGCUAAGUCAGGUGUGAAAACUCCGGGCUCAACCCGGAGACGCCACCUGAUACUGGUAUGGCUUGAGUCCGGUAGGGGAGCGUGGAACUCCUGGUGUAGCGGUGAAAUGCGCAGAUAUCAGGAAGAACACCAGCGGCGAAGGCGGCGCUCUGGGCCGGUACUGACGCUGAGGAGCGAAAGCGUGGGUAGCGAACAGGAUUAGAUACCCCAGUAGUCC
rnacentral:rRNA from 1 species